CCUACGGGGGGCAGCAGUGGGGAAUAUUGCACAAUGGGGGAAACCCUGAUGCAGCGACGCCGCGUGAGUGAAGAAGUAAUUCGUUAUGUAAAGCUCUAUCAGCAGGGAAGAAAAUGACGGUACCUGAGUAAGAAGCCCCGGCUAACUACGUGCCAGCAGCCGCGGGUAUACGUAGGGGGCAAGCGUUAUCCGGAUUUACUGGGUGGAAAGGGGGCGUAGACGGCAGUGCAAGGCUGGAGUGAAAGGUGGGGGCUCAACCCCCGGACUGCUCUGGGAACUGUACGGCUGGAGUGCAGGAGAGGUAAGUGGAAUGCGUAGUGUAGCGGUGAAAUGCGUAGAUAUUAGGAGGAACACCGGUGGCGAAGGCGGCAUACUGGACUGUAACUGACGUUGAGGCUCGAAAGCGUGGGGAGCAAACAGGAUUAGAUACCCUAGUAGUC
rnacentral:rRNA from 1 species